rnacentral:rRNA from 1 species
UACGUAGGGUGCGAGCGUUAAUCGGAAUUACUGGGCGUAAAGCGCACGUAGGUGGUUUGUUAAGCUAGAUGUGAAAGCCCCGGGCUCAACCUGGGAAUUGCAUUUAGAACUGGCAAGCUAGAGUAGGGUAGAGGGGUGUGGAAUUCCAGGUGUAGCGGUGAAAUGCGUAGAUAUCUGGAGGAACAUCAGUGGCGAAGGCGGCACCCUGGACUCAUACUGACACUGAGGUGCGAAAGCGUGGGGAGCAAACAGG